GUAUAAACUCGAUGGCAAUGACAGCCCCGAAUCUUUUAAUGAGGGCUAAAAUGUACAGCGGGGCAUAAC
rnacentral:sRNA from 1 species